ACUACCCCUAGAAGUUUUACAGGUGUGGCUGCUGUGUCACAUGUGUGUCAGCAGGUGGCAGAGAAGAGAGGAGCUAUGUCUAUUCUCAGCGUUCUGACCUAUGAAUAUCUGAAUGAAUAGUAGCCUGACAUU
ensembl:snoRNA Gm24335 small nucleolar RNA SNORA17